CGUAUCCAACCUGCCGUCUACUCUUGGACAGCCUUCUAGAAAGGAAGAUUAAUACAAGAUGGCAUCAUGAGUCCGCAUGUUCACAUGAUUAAAGGUAUUCCGGUAGACGAUGGGGAUGCGUUCCAUUAGAUAGUAGGCGGGGUAACGGCCCACCUAGUCUUCGAUGGAUAGGGGUUCUGAGAGGAAGGUCCCCACAUUGGAACUGAGACACGGUCCAAACUCCUACGGGAGGCAGCAGUGAGGAAUAUUGGUCAAUGGGCGAGAGCCUGAACCAGCCAAGUAGCGUGAAGGAUGACUGCCCUAUGGGUUGUAAACUUCUUUUAUAAAGGAAUAAGGUCGGGUAUGCAUACCCGUUUGCAUGUACUUUAUGAAUAAGGAUCGGCUAACUCCGUGCCAGCAGCCGCGGUAAUACGGAGGAUUCGAGCGUUAUCCGGAUUUAUUGGGUUUAAAGGGAGCGUAGAUGGAUGUUUAAGUCAGUUGUGAAAGUUUGCGGCUCAACCGUAAAAUUGCAGUUGAUACUGGAUAUCUUGAGUGC
rnacentral:rRNA from 1 species